rnacentral:misc_RNA from 1 species
CCACAUUUUCACACUCUCGAAAAACCUCUCUUCUGCGUCACAAAGAGCCCCCAAAUUGCAAAAACCUCCCUUGGAACCCCUCACUCCACCCACCUCUCUCUAUCUCACUAUGUUUAGAAUCCACCGCUUUGCAUUGGCCAAAUCCUUCCACCUACGCUUCUUCUCUCCGUCCGCCGCUGCUCUCAUCGAAGAACCAGCAAUCGAGGCCGCCCCACUGACCUACCUCGAAGGACUCCCCAAGCCCGGUCCAGUGGAGACGAUCCUCGCGAUCCCUCGCUCCACAUCCGGCAAGAGCAUAGCCGCGAAAGAGCGAAAAGCUGGGCGAGUCCCGAGCAUCCUGUUCGAGCAGGAAGAUGGGCAGCAUGGCGGUAAUAAAAGGCUGAUUUCGGUGCAGUCGAAUCACGUUAGGAACUUGGUUAAUAAGCUUGGAAGAUCAUUCUUCUUGUCCAGGCUUUUUAAACUUGAGGUCAGACCGGAGUUUGAGUCGGACGAGAUCAUCGAGGAAGUCCGGGUUUUGCCUAGAUUGAUUCAUUUGCACUCGAUAACUGAUAUACCCAUUAAUGUCACCUUCAUAAGGGCACCUUCCACUGCGUUGUUGAAGGUUGAUGUUCCUCUUGUCUUCACAGGCGAAGACGUAUCUCCUGGACUCAGGAAAGGUUCUUAUUUGAAUAUCAUUAAGAGGACCGUCAAGUUCCUAUGCCCUGCAGAUAUAAUUCCUCCAUAUAUUGAGGUGGAUCUAAGUGAACUGGACGUGGGCCAAAAGUUGGUAAUGGGAGACCUCAAGGUUCAUCCAGCUCUACAGCUCAUCCAGUCAGAAGAACAGCCUGUUGUUAAGAUCAUGGGAGCCAGGGUUUCUGACCAAAGGAAAUCUAAAUAAGCACUUGAGGAUUCAUCCCCACUC